UGGCUCGAUGAUGACCGCUGAUGGCAUUAUGAGUCAUGUAUGAUGAACAAGUGUCUGGAACAGAAAUGCGGUCUAG